CUAUUUAUUCUCCAUUCGACACGCUCUGUGUCUCUCUGUCUGUCUGUCUCUCUCUCUCUAACAUUCGCUGUCUAGCAUUCUCUCUCACUCCUAACGAUUCAUUCAAUACGAUUGACAAGAGACAUAUGUACCCGCCAUCCUCCUCGCCCUUAUCCUCCCAAAAGCCAAUGGGCCCCACCGGCCUCACGCGCUACUGCUCCGCCCCCGGCUCCCUCCUUUCCACCGCCGUCGAUUCCGUAAUCGGCCCCAACCGCGAAUUCUCCCCCCUCCGAUCAUCUUCUUCCCUCAUGGGCCAGCAUCAGUACUUCUCCGGCGACUCUUCUUCCGUCACCUCCGAGUCGACCUGCGGGGCCAACUCUUCCAACGGUCCCCCCAAAGAGCAUCAUCAGCAUCAGCAGCUGCAGCAUCAAUUGUCCAAAGGGUUACAGAGGUCGUACGGUCUGAACGAGAUGGCCGUUGGUGAUUUUGUAACGGCUAGUAACUUGAAUGGUGGCGGAUCAUCCUCUGGUUCUGCUUCCUCGGCUUUGGUCCGCCAGAGAAGCUCUCCUGCCGGGUUUCUUAGCCAUCUCGCUUCGUCUGCUGAUAACGGUUUUUCAGUUACAAGGGGAUCUGGAGGCUACACGUCUCAAGGUGGCUCUAAUAGUGGCCAUGGAGUAUCAAGGUUGAAGUCUCAAUUAAGCUUCACAGGACAAGAUUCUCUUUCUCAGAUAUCUGAAGUUAGCGAGGAUGUUAUUGAUGGCAUCAGCUCUGACAAUGGCCACCAAAAUACCACGUAUUCUUAUGCAUCUACUAGCUUUGGAAUGGACUCAUGGGACAACACAAAUUCUAUAACAUUUUCAACCCCACCCAGCAAACGAGCUAAAAAUCUUGAUGGAGACAUUUUCAACUGCCUGCAUACUUUAGAAACUCAGUUUAGCAUGCCACAGACGUCACUUGAGAUGGCCACAGUGGAGAAGCUAAUCCACAUUCCUGAAGACUCUAUUCCGUGUAAAAUCCGUGCUAAACGUGGCUGUGCGACUCACCCCAGAAGCAUUGCUGAAAGGGUUGGAAAGAAGAACUCGAAUAAGCGGGAAACUGAAGAAACUGCAAGAUCUUGUCCCUAACAUGGACAAGCAAACAAGUUAUGCAGACAUGUUGGACUUGGCUGUUCAACAUAUCAAAGGCCUUCAAAAUAAAGUUCAGGAGAUUCACAAAGAUCUUCAGAAUUGCACCUGUGGAUGCAAACCCCCUAAUGUUUGCUGACAGAAAAAUAGUGAUUGAAAGGUUUUGUACUGGAGUCAAGGAUGUUGGACCCAAGUUAGGUUCAUUUUGAUUCCUUACCAAAUUAGAUUGAAUGUUGAUGUAGUGAGAUCAUAUGUAUAUAAUGAAUUAAAACUGUUAUUGCCUUUCACUUAGGGAAAUCGUAUAGAACGCACUCAAUUUCCUUUGUUUUGAUCCUAUUCGUACAUCUAUUUGAUAUAUAUGCUUUUACUUCAAAAAAGGUUGGUAGGUGCUUUCAUAAA